rnacentral:rRNA from 1 species
CCUACGGGAGGCAGCAGUGGGGAAUAUUGCACAAUGGGGGAAACCCUGAUGCAGCGACGCCGCGUGAGCGAUGAAGUAUUUCGGUAUGUAAAGCUCUAUCAGCAGGGAAGAAAAUGACGGUACCUGACUAAGACGCCCCGGCUAACUACGUGCCAGCAGCCGCGGUAAUACGUAGGGGGCAAGCGUUAUCCGGAUUUACUGGGUGUAAAGGGAGCGUAGAAGGCGGUGCAAGUCAGAUGUGAAAGCCCGGGGCGCAACCCCGGGACUGCAUUUGGAACUGUGCUGCUAGAGUGUCGGCGAGGAAGGCGGAAGUCGUAGGGGAGCGGUGAAAUGCGUAGAUAUUAGGAGGAACACCAGUGGCGAAGGCGGCCUGCUGGACGAUGACUGACGUUGAGGCUCGAAAGCGUGGGGAGCAAACAGGAUUAGAUACCCCGGUAGUC